rnacentral:rRNA from 1 species
GCAAUCUAUACAGUGAAACUGCGAAUGGCUCAUUAAAUCAGUUAUCGUUUAUUUGAUAGUACCUUACUACAUGGAUAACCGUGGUAAUUCUAGAGCUAAUACAUGCUAAAAAUCCCGACCUCUGGAAGGGAUGUAUUUAUUAGAUAAAAAACCAAUGGCUUCGGCCUCCUUGGUGAUUCAUGAUAACUUUACGAAUCGCAUGGCCUUGUGCCGGCGAUGGUUCAUUCAAAUUUCUGCCCUAUCAACUUUCGAUGGUAGGAUAGUGGCCUACCAUGGUUUCAACGGGUAACGGGGAAUUAGGGUUCUAUUCCGGAGAGGGAGCCUGAGAACCGGCCUCCACAACCAAGGAAGGCAGCAGGCGCGCAAAUUACCCAAUCCCGACACGGGGAGGUAGUGACAAUAAAUACUGAUACAGGGCCCUUUCGGGUCUUGUAAUCGGAAUGAGUACAAUUUAAAUCCCUUAACGAGGAACAAUUGGAGGGCAAGUCUGGUGCCAGCAGCCGCGGUAAUUCCAGCUCCAAUAGCGUAUAUUAAAGUUGUUGCAGUUAAAAAGCUCGUAGUUGAACUUCGGGCCUGGCUGACCGGUCCGCCUCACCGCGUGCACUGGUUCGGCCGGGUCUUUCCUUCUGGCAAACCUCAUGCCCUUUACUGGGUGUGUUGGGGAACCAGGACUUUUACUUUGAAAAAAUUAGAGUGUUCAAAGCAGGCAUAUGCUCGAAUACAUUAGCAUGGAAUAAUAGAAUAGGACGUGCGGUUCUAUUUUGUUGGUUUCUAGGACCGCCGUAAUGAUUAAUAGGGAUAGUCGGGGGCAUCCGUAUUCAAUUGUCAGAGGUGAAAUUCUUGGAUUUAUUGAAGACGAACUACUGCGAAAGCAUUUGCCAAGGAUGUUUUCAUUAAUCAGGAACGAAAGUUGAGGGAUCGAAGACGAUCAGAUACCGUCGUAGUCUCAACCAUAAACUAUGCCGACUAGGGAUCGGGCGAUGUUCUCUUUAUGACACGCUCGGAACCUUACGAGAAAUCAAAGUCUUUGGGUUCUGGGGGG